rnacentral:tRNA from 1 species
GCCUCUAUAGCUCAGUGGUAGAGCACUGGUCUCGUAAACCAGGGGUCGUGAGUUCAAUCCUCACUAUAGGCA